rnacentral:rRNA from 1 species
CGUGGCUAACCUGCCCUUGGGACCAGAACACCCCCGGGAAACUGGGGCUAAUUCUCGAUAGGUGAAGAACUCUGGAAUGAGUCUUCGCUUAAAAGAGGCUGGGGUUAUGCUCUCCAGUUUCGCCCAAGGAUGGGGCCGCGACCGAUCAGGUUGUUGGUGAGGUAAUGGCUCACCAAGCCUUUUACCGGUGCGGGCCGUGGGAGCGGGAGCCCGGAGAUGGGCACUGAGACAAGGGCCCAGGCCCUACGGGGCGCAGCAGUCGCGAAAACUUUGCAAUAAGCGAAAGCUUGACAGGGCUAUCCCGAGUGCCAUCCGCUGAGGAAGGCUUUUACCCAGUCUAGAACGCUGGGGGAAUAAGGAGAGGGCAAGUCUGGUGUCAGCCGCCGCGGUAAUACCAGCUCUCCGAGUGGUGUGGAUGUUUAUUGGGCCUAAAGCAUCCGUAGCUGGCUAGGUUAGUCCCCUGUUAAAUCCACCGAAUUAAUCGUUGGAUUGCGGGGGAUACUACUUGGCUAGGGGACGAGAGAGGCAGACGGUAUUUCCGGGGUAGGGGUGAAAUCCUAUAAUCCCGGGAAGACCACCAGUGGCGAAGGCUGUCUGCUAGAACGCGCCCGACGGUGAGGGAUGAAAGCUGGGGGAGCGAACCGGAUUAGAUACCCGGGUAGUCCCAGCUGU